CAAACUCAAUCCUUAAGCAAUGCCCUUUCCUUUAGAAUUUGGCUCCAAUUCAAUUGUAUCUAUACACAAUUAAUUUAAUAUCAUCAAUUCUACUCAACAAAAUAUUCCAAAUGGCUAAAUAUAUAUUUCACAACAUUCUGCCCAGAAUAGUGAAAAUUGACCCUGGGCUCAUGUGGUCAAAACACGAGGUUUGAACCAAUUUCCGACAACCCAUUCAUCCACGAGUUCAAAUAUACUAUUUGUUUCCAAGUUUAACUCUAAAAUGAGGUCUAAAUCACAAAGGGAAAGCACCUAACUUUAUUUCUUUAUUGAUGUUGGUAUGACUUUUACUACCAUAUACAUUUUGUCUUAAUGUAGUAUUAAGGGGCCUAAAAUAUUGCAGCUAGAAUCCCAUUAAAUAAAUUUUAUCAUACAUAUAUAUGCAUAAAUAUUGUUACUGGGACCGUUGGGGAAUUCACAUGAUAUGACUUCAUAUUGCACGUUCAUGACGUUUGAUUUUAUACAUAAAGAUAAUAUUAUUUUCCUCUUAAAUUGCUGUUUUCAAAUUUUCUAUUACAAUAAUCUUCAAAAAAAUUAUUUCCAGAAAAGUGAACCAACUUUGUUAUAUUAAAUCCCCAAGUCUCUAUCUACCCCCACCAAUUCAUUAUGAAACUAUUUUAACUUUCCUCUUGGUAUCGAACCUUUGCAAAACCUACAAGUGAAUCUGCUCAAGGAAAUUAGUAGUUCCUUCUAUAAUUUGUCUCUACAAGAUCUUAACUUUCUUCGCUGAUUCUAAUCUUAUAAAAUAUGUUGAGCCUAUGACUUGGUAUAAUGUGAUCAUGAGCUAUUCUUAAAGUAUUGCGUAAUCGCUCUGCCAUUUGAAGUACGUCAACAAUCAAGCUAUAAAACUUAGGAUAUCAUGCUAAUAAAGUGCUACUACCUUGAUUUUCAGCAGCAGCUCUUACUGGAGGUUCAGGUGGUCGUUUGGACGAUAGGGUUGCUGGUGAGGAAGACGAAGACAACAGCUUGCUGCUGCCGCUGGUUCAACCACUGGAGGUGUUCGACUUCGACUGCUGCUGGACGAUAACGGAGCUGGCUGGACGACGGACUGGUUUGGAGACGAAGAAGCAGCAGAGAUGGUGGCUUUUUGGCAGCUACGUGAAGAAGAAGAAGCAAAGGGGGUGACGGAACAGUGGUUGUCGACGGAAGGGAGGUCGUUUGGUCGUGAGUUGCGCUGGUUCUAUGUUUUUUUUUUUUUUGAUUUUGGUUGAGAAUUUGAGACAAUUGUCUCCACAAAUUCCUUUCUGAAUCCCUCGAGCAGAAGCUCUUUUUUU
rnacentral:lncRNA from 1 species